AUUUGUGUUAGGUGAGAGCAAUGGAGCAAUGGUUGAUGGAGUAGAGCACAAGAGUUGGCAUUUGAAUAAUUUAAUUUUAACUACAACUAAUCGAAAA
rnacentral:sRNA from 1 species